rnacentral:rRNA from 1 species
GACGAACGCUGGCGGCGCGCCUAACACAUGCAAGUCGAACGAGCGAGAGAGAGCUUGCUUUCUUGAGCGAGUGGCGAACGGGUGAGUAACGCGUGAGGAACCUGCCUCAAAGAGGGGGACAACAGUUGGAAACGACUGCUAAUACCGCAUAAGCCCACGGUGCCGCAUGGCACAGAGGGAAAAGGAGCAAUCCGCUUUGAGAUGGCCUCGCGUCCGAUUAGCUAGUUGGUGAGGUAACGGCCCACCAAGGCGACGAUCGGUAGCCGGACUGAGAGGUUGAACGGCCACAUUGGGACUGAGACACGGCCCAGACUCCUACGGGAAGCAGCAGUGGGGAAUAUUGCACAAUGGGGGAAACCCUGAUGCAGCGACGCCGCGUGGAGGAAGAAGGUCUUCGGAUUGUAAACUCCUGUUGUUGGGGAAGAUAAUGACGGUACCCAACAAGGAAGUGACGGCUAACUACGUG